rnacentral:rRNA from 1 species
UGGGGAAUUUUGGACAAUGGGCGAAAGCCUGAUCCAGCAAUGCCGCGUGUGUGAAGAAGGCCUUCGGGUUGUAAAGCACUUUUGUCCGGAAAGAAAUCCUUGGCUCUAAUACAGUCGGGGGAUGACGGUACCGGAAGAAUAAGCACCGGCUAACUACGUGCCAGCAGCCGCGGUAAUACGUAGGGUGCAAGCGUUAAUCGGAAUUACUGGGCGUAAAGCGUGCGCAGGCGGUUUGCUAAGACCGAUGUGAAAUCCCCGGGCUCAACCUGGGAACUGCAUUGGUGACUGGCAGGCUAGAGUAUGGCAGGAGGGGGGUAGAAUUCCACGUGUAGCAGUGAAAUGCGUAGAGAUGUGGAGGAAUACCGAUGGCGAAGGCAGCCCCCUGGGCCAAUACUGACGCUCAUGCACGAAAGCGUGGGGAGCAAACAGGAUUAGAUACCCUGGUAGUCCACGCCCUAAACGAUGUCAACUAGUUGUUGGGGAUUCAUUUCCUUAGUAACGUAGCUAACGCGUGAAGUUGACCGCCUGGGGAGUACGGUCGCAAGAUUAAAACUCAAAGGAAUUGACGGGGUCAUA